UUGGCCAUGGUCGGACUGGCUGGGGUGGCAGGAUUCGAACCUGCGAAUGGCGGGAUCAAAACCCGCUGCCUUACC
rnacentral:tRNA from 1 species